rnacentral:rRNA from 1 species
UACAGAGGGUGCGAGCGUUAAUCGGAAUUACUGGGCGUAAAGCGCACGUAGGCGGCUUGGUAUGUCGGGUGUGAAAUCCCCGGGCUCAACCUGGGAACUGCAUCCGAAACUGCCUUGCUCGAGUAUGGGAGAGGGAAGUGGAAUUUCCGGUGUAGCGGUGAAAUGCGUAGAUAUCGGAAGGAACACCCAGGGGGAAACCAGCCGACUGGGCAUCUGCUGACGCUGAGGUGCGAGAGCGUGGGGAGCGAACCGG